rnacentral:rRNA from 1 species
CACGUAGGGCGCAAGCGUUGUCCGGAAUUAUUGGGCGUAAAGAGCUCGUAGGCGGUCUGUUGCGUCCGCUGUGAAAACUCGGGGCUUAACCCCGAGCCUGCAGUGGAUACGGGCAGACUAGAGGUAGGUAGGGGAGAAUGGAAUUCCCGGUGUAGCGGUGAAAUGCGUAGAUAUCGGAAGGAACACCAGUGGCGAAAGCGGCUUCCUGGUCCAGCACCGACGUUCAGGCACGAAAGCGUGGGGAGCAAACAGG